GACGUAGGGCGCGAGCGUUGUCCGGAAUUAUUGGGCGUAAAGAGCUCGUAGGCGGCUUGUUGCGUCGUCCGUGAAAUCCCGUGGCUCAACUGCGGGCUUGCGGACGAUACGGGCAGGCUAGAGUUCGGUAGGGGAGACUGGAAUUCCUGGUGUAGCGGUGAAAUGCGCAGAUAUCAGGAGGAACACCGGUGGCGAAGGCGGGUCUCUGGGCCGAUACUGACGCUGAGGAGCGAAAGCGUGGGGGAGCGAACAGG
rnacentral:rRNA from 1 species